rnacentral:rRNA from 1 species
UAACUGAAGAGUUUGAUCAUGGCUCAGAUUGAACGCUGGCGGCAGGCUUAACACAUGCAAGUCGAGCGGGGGAAGGUAGCUUGCUACUGGACCUAGCGGCGGACGGGUGAGUAAUGCUUAGGAAUCUGCCUAUUAGUGGGGGACAACAUCUCGAAAGGGAUGCUAAUACCGCAUACGUCCUACGGGAGAAAGCAGGGGAUCUUCGGACCUUGCGCUAAUAGAUGAGCCUAAGUCGGAUUAGCUAGUUGGUGGGGUAAAGGCCUACCAAGGCGACGAUCUGUAGCGGGUCUGAGAGGAUGAUCCGCCACACUGGGACUGAGACACGGCCCAGACUCCUACGGGAGGCAGCAGGGGGGAAUAUUGGACAAUGGGCGCAACCCUGAUCCAGCCAUGCCGCGUGUGUGAAGAAGGCUUUCUGGUUGUAAAGCACUUUAAGCGAGGAGGAGGCUACUUUAGUU